GCUGCGAUGGCCGAGUGGUUAAGGCGUUGGACUCGAAAUCCAUUGGGAUAUUCCCGCGCAGGUUCAAAUUCCGGUUCGCAGCG
rnacentral:tRNA from 1 species